GUCUUGCUUAAUAAAAGGAGUUGAUCAUCAACUUCAACCAAACCUGGAUCAAACCAAAUCAGUCCCAAACCAACCCAAACAUCUUCGUUUUUCCGAUCACCGGCGACCCACGUCAACUACCCCUCCCUGCCGCCGUUUCUUUCUCUCUUUCUCUCUCUCUCUCCUGGUCUCCGACCAACAGAAACAGGCUCAACGAGCCUUCAUCGCGCCACCCUCGCCAUCGCUCCUUGCCGUCGCACCGCCAGUCGCUUCCUUUCUCUCUCAGUUAGAUCGCGCCGCCACUGCCUCUCGGUCCACCUCCCUCUAUUUCCUUUUGGGCGAGCAACAGCACCACCUGCCAUCUCCGUCGCGAACGCUGCUCCUCGCGACCUCAGCCACCAGCCGCUGCUUGACGUCGCGCCUCCUACUCGCAGCUCCGGUGAGCACAGCUGCUCAGACGAGCAACGACUCCCGUUUUGGUCGACUCAGCGACUGCCCCCUAUCUUUCUCUUUGUUCCGGCGAGACUGGUUGAAGACCAGUCGAUCUGGUUCCUUCCAUGCUGCUAUUAGUGCGCCAGCCACCUCCGGUUGUCUCUCCGGCGCGCAUAGUCUCCGUCUCCGGCCAAGCAAAUUCCGACACUGUUGUGCUUAGAUCGUCCAGAUCCAUCUACUGCUCCUUCAAGUUAAAAUCCGAGAUAAAGCAUCUUCCUUUUUUUAUCACUGAAGUAGAAUCCCUACCGGUCCGACUGAAGCUCUGUAAUCAUCCCCCUAAGGCUAUAGAAGUAAAUUACUAAUUUUGUAUUUAUCUAAUUUAGGCAUUGUUAUAUGUAAGAGUUUCACUACUUCUCUAGCUAUUAUUGAACUAAGCUGUUGUAGGAUUUUAUGCCUCACUAAUCUUGUUUAAUAGGUGUACUAAGCUAUGAAUGCCCUAAAUAUUUAUCUAAAAUACAUAUGAAUCAGUAGCGAAUAUUAUGAAUGAGAUAUACUAUUGGUUGGCCCGAA